rnacentral:lncRNA from 1 species
UACGGGUGUAGAAAGGAAAAGAAAGAAACAAUUUGUAUUAAGCUGAUUGUAUUUGGAAGUUGAAUAUAAUGUAAAUGUAAAAAAUUUGAGACGAAUGCUUGUAAUAGCUUAGUAUUUAUGUUGUUGAUACUUUCCUUAUGCAAUCAAUGUAUAAAUACUGUUCCUGUUUGGAACCACUUGUAUUGUACUGUUGCGACGCCUUGGACGUAUAGGGGAGACUCUGUCCGUCCCGCGGUCUGU